rnacentral:tRNA from 1 species
GGGCUCUUGGUCUAGUUUGGUUAUGACGUCGCCUUCACACGGCGGAGGUCCUGGGUUCGAGUCCCAGAGAGCCCACCA